rnacentral:misc_RNA from 1 species
AACCAUUCUCACCUGCGGCUAGACCUGCGGAGGGAUCAUUACAGAGAUUGAUGCACCAAGUGCAUCACCUCCAACCCCUUGCGAAAACAACUAUCAUGUGUUGCUUUGGCAGUGUUUCCACUGCCAGAGGUUUACAUAAAAUCAGCUGUUGGAUGUUGUCUGAGUAAACUAUAUGAAUUAUUUAAAACUUUCAACAACGGAUCU